rnacentral:hammerhead_ribozyme from 1 species
GCAUUGCUGAAGAGUCCCACAAUAGGACGAAACGGCCAUCCAAAGC